rnacentral:rRNA from 1 species
GAUGCAGCGACGCCGCGUGAAGGAAGAAGUAUCUCGGUAUGUAAACUUCUAUCAGCAGGGAAGAAAAUGACGGUACCUGACUAAGAAGCCCCGGCUAACUACGUGCCAGCAGCCGCGGUAAUACGUAGGGGGCAAGCGUUAUCCGGAUUUACUGGGUGUAAAGGGAGCGUAGACGGAAGAGCAAGUCUGAUGUGAAAGGCUGGGGCUUAACCCCAGGACUGCAUUGGAAACUGUUUUUCUAGAGUGCCGGAGAGGUAAGCGGAAUUCCUAGUGUAGCGGUGAAAUGCGUAGAUAUUAGGAGGAACACCAGUGGCGAAGGCGGCUUACUGGACGGUAACUGACGUUGAGGCUCGAAAGCGUGGGGAGCAAACAGGAUUAGAUACCCUGGUAGUCCACGCCGU